ACAAAUAAUGCCUUUUUGGAGUUCUGUUUUGUGCCACACAGCGCCUCAUGUGUGUUGAUCGGGUCCAUCUCACUCCCCCUCCAGCUGCAGGACCGGUGAAAAAACUGUACCAGAAGAUUGACCAUCACAACACCUCAGACCACAGCACAGCUAGACACGAUAAAGGUUUGUGGUCUGGCUACAGUUCUCGGCCCAGAGGGAAAGGGAUGGUGGACCAGUGCUAGGCGUCUGGUUGUAACUUCAGCAUCUGGAGAUGUCAAACCAAAGAGCCAGCAGCAAACCACACGCCCUACACAAAGCCUUGAUGAACAUUCUGUGAUGAACUGAUGAUGCUGAUAUAAGAAGGCUUUGGAGGGGUCAAUCAUAUGACCCCGAGGCCUGCUUCACCAAAGAAAAAGACACUUAAUCCUAUCUGGAGGUACGGCCCAGCAGACGGACUGAGAGAAGGAGGGGGGGAGCGAGAGACCGUUCUGCUCUGACACAUCUGACGUAUUGUGAAGUUAAGUAGCACACAGACUCACAUUCUGAAAAUACACACACUAUUAGGAGAAGAUAAUUAGUACUUAAAUGUUUAAAGUACAUUUCACUGUUCAAAUUUGAACUGGAUUGAUGGAAAGUUGAUAAAAAUGAUCCAUUCAAAGACUUCCUAAAACCCUUAAAUUAUAUUUUCUAGUCUUUUGCAGUUGCUGCAUCUUUCCUGAGACCUUGAGACUGAAGUUGUGUGAGUUUUAGUGCUGAGAAGGUUUGAAACCAUGAUGAUUAAAACCAGCAUAGCUAAAGUCAGCCUAACAACUGAUGAAGAGGGCGUGUGCCGAAAGACUGGGACCAGUCUGUGCACCAACCAGGGGACGCCAAGUCUAAACCACGGUACUCCUCCAACUUUUAAUAAACAAAUCUAAAUGCUCUUAGAGACUGAUAUAUGAAUUCAUGUAUAAGCCAGAAAAUUCAGUCUGAUGAGAGAAGCCUGUGUGCCUGCUCAACUCUGACCCGUGUACACGUUUAUGCUCUUAUGAUUUUACUUAAAUAAAUACUUGUUAAACUUUUAAGUCC